AUUGAACGCUGGCGGCAUGCUUUACACAUGCAAGUCGAACGGGCUUGGGGGCUUGCUCCCAAGUUAGUGGCGAACGGGUGAGUAAUACAUCGGAACGUACCGUGUAGUGGGGGGUAACGUAGCGAAAGUUACGCUAAUACCGCAUACAAUCUACGGAUGAAAGCAGGGGACCUUCGGGCCUUGUGCUAUACGAGCGGCCGAUGUCUGAUUAGCUAGUUGGUGAGGUAAAGGCUCACCAAGGCGACGAUCAGUAGCGGGUCUGAGAGGAUGAUCCGCCACACUGGGACUGAGACACGGCCCAGACUCCUACGGGAGGCAGCAGUGGGGGAAUUUUGGACAAUGGGCGAAAGCCUGAUCCAGCCAUGCCGCGUGUCUGAAGAAGGCCU
rnacentral:rRNA from 1 species